rnacentral:rRNA from 1 species
AUGCCCCCUACCCACAAAGGGGGAGGAUUCAGGUAGGCGGGUUCUGAGAGGAUGAUCCGUCACACCUGAACUGAGAACGGCAGACUCUACGGGAGGCAGCAGUGGGAUUUGGACAAUGGGGCACCUGAUCCAGCAUUCCGCGUGAGUGAAGAAGGCCUUCGGGUGUAAGCUCUUUCAGCUUGAACGAAACGGUACGCUCUAACAUAGCGUGCUAAUGACGGUACCGGCAGAAGAAGCACCGGCUAACUACGUGCCAGCAGCCGCGGUAAUACGUAGGGUGCGAGCGUUAAUCGGAAUUACUGGGCGUAAAGCGUGCGCAGGCGGAUUGUUAAGCAAGACGUGAAAGCCCCGGGCUUAACCUGGGAAUGGCGUUUUGAACUGGCAGUCUAGAGUGCGUCAGAGGGGGGUGGAAUUCCACGUGUAGCAGUGAAAUGCGUAGAGAUGUGGAGGAACACCAAUGGCGAAGGCAGCCCCCUGGGAUGACACUGACGCUCAUGUACGAAAGCGUGGGUAGCAAACAGGAUUAGAUACCCUGGUAGUCCACGCCCUAAACGAUGUCAACUGGUUGUUGGGGGAGUGAAAUCCCUUAGUAACGAAGCUAACGCGUGAAGUUGACCGCCUGGGGAGUACGGUCGCAAGAUUAAAACUCAAAGGAAUUGACGGGGACCCGCACAAGCGGUGGAUGAUGUGGAUUAAUUCGAUGCAACGCGAAAAACCUUACCUACCCUUGACAUGUCCGGAAUCCUGAAGAGAUUUGGGAGUGCCCGAAAGGGAAUCGGAACACAGGUGCUGCAUGGCUGUCGUCAGCUCGUGUCGUGAGAUGUUGGGUUAAGUCCCGCAACGAGCGCAACCCUUGUCAUUAGUUGCUACGCAAGAGCACUCUAAUGAGACUGCCGGUGACAAACCGGAGGAAGGUGGGGAUGACGUCAAGUCCUCAUGGCCCUUAUGGGUAGGGCUUCACACGUCAUACAAUGGUCGGUACAGAGGGUUGCCAAGCCGCGAGGUGGAGCCAAUCCCAGAAAGCCGAUCGUAGUCCGGAUCGCAGUCUGCAACUCGACUGCGUGAAGUCGGAAUCGCUAGUAAUCGCGGAUCAGCAUGCCACGGUGAAUACGUUCCCGGGUCUUGUACACACCGCCCGUCACACCAUGGGAGUGGGUUUCACCAGAAGAGGCUAGCCUAACCGUAAGGGGGGCGGUCGCCACGGUGAGAUUCAUGACUGGGGUGAAGUCGUAACAAGGUAGCCGU